rnacentral:lncRNA from 1 species
UGGGGGACCCCAGUGACACCGGGUGGUCCCCCCCUGGUGACGUUGGCCUCGUACCUGGGUGGCCCCGGGGGCUCUGGGGGAUGGGGAAGGGGUCACGGCCCCCCCCCCAGUGCUGGGUGUCACCUCCGUGCGCCCCGGGUCACCCCAGACCCCAUCUGUCCCCAAAACCCAUCCCCUGUCCCCAUCCCUUGUCCCCAAACCCCAUUUUCUGUCCCUAUAUUCUAUUCCUUGUCCCCAAACCCUGUCCCAUGUCCCAUCCCCUGUCCCUAGACCCCACCCCUUGUCCCCACGUCUCGUCCCCUGUCCCCAUCCCUUGUCCCCAUAUCCCAUCCCGUCCCCAAACCCUGUCCCCAUGUCCCAUUCCCUGUCCCCAAAUCCCAUUCCCUGUCCCUAUAUCCUAUCCCGUCCCCAUCCCUUGUUCCUUGUCCCCAAAUUCUGUCCCCUGUCCCCGGACCCUGUCCCUUGUCCCCAAACCCCAUCCCCUGUCCCCAUUUUCUGUCCCCAAACCCCAUUUUCUGUCCCCAAACCCCAUCCCGUCCCCAUCCCUGUCCCCAAAACCCAUCCCUUGUCCCCUGUCCCUAUGUCCCAUAUCCUGUCCCUAUCCCCUGUCCCCGUCCCUUGUCCACUGUCCCCAGACCCCAUCCCCUAUCCCCAUGUCCCAUCCCUUGUCCCCAAACCCCAUUCCUUGUCCCCAUGUCCCAUAUUCUGUCUCCAUCCCAUCCCCUGUCCCCAAACCCUGUCCCCAUGUCACAUCCCCUGUGCCUAUACCCCAUUCCCUGUCCCCAGACCCCAUUCCCUGACCCCAAAACUCAUCAUUUGUCCCCAAAACCCAUUCCCUGUCCCCAAACCCCAUUCCCUGUCCCCAGACCCCAUCCCCUGUCCCUAUGUCCCAUAUCCUGUCCCUGUCCCCACCCCUUGUCCCCAAACCCCAUUUUCUGACCCCAAACCCCCCUUUCUGUCCCCAAACCCCAUCCCUUGUCCCCCCCCCGUCCCGUCCCCGUUCCCCCGCCCCGGACGCGGCCCUUUUGGGGGGGGGGGCGGGGCCGCGGCCCCG